rnacentral:rRNA from 1 species
GACGAACGCUGGCGGCGUGCUUAACACAUGCAAGUCGAACGAAGUGGCGAACGGGUGAGUAACGCGUAAUCAACAUGCCCUUCAGAGGGGGACAACAGUUGGCAACGACUGCUAAUACCGCAUAAUGAAGGAGGGGGUUGCGGGUGCUUUGCUAGCUGGAGGGGUAACGGCCUACCAAGGCGAUGAUCAGUAUCCGGUUCGUGAGGAUUAACGGCCACCUUGGGACUGGGACACGGCCCCGACUCCUACGGGAGGCAGCCGGGGGGAAUCUUCCGACAUGGACGAAAGUCUGACGGAGCAACGCCGCGUGAGUGAUGACGGCCUUCGGGUUGUAAAGCUCUGUUAAUCGGGACGCGGUACCGGAAUAGAAAGCCACGGCUAACUACGUGCCAGCAGCCGCGGUAAUAC